CGGCCCAGACUCCUACGGGAGGCAGCAGUAGGGAAUCUUCGGCAAUGGGGGCAACCCUGACCGAGCAACGCCGCGUGAGUGAAGAAGGUUUUCGGAUCGUAAAGCUCUGUUGUAAGAGAAGAACGUUGAUGAGAGUGGAAAGUUCAUCAAGUGACGGUAUCUUACCAGAAAGGGACGGCUAACUACGUGCCAGCAGCCGCGGUAAUACGUAGGUCCCGAGCGUUGUCCGGAUUUAUUGGGCGUAAAGCGAGCGCAGGCGGUUUAAUAAGUCUGAAGUUAAAGGCAGUGGCUCAACCAUUGUUCGCUUUGGAAACUGUUAAACUUGAGUGCAGAAGGGGAGAGUGGAAUUCCAUGUGUAGCGGUGAAAUGCGUAGAUAUAUGGAGGAACACCGGUGGCGAAAGCGGCUCUC
rnacentral:rRNA from 1 species